AUAGCAUCCGCUUCCCCAGAACUUCUCCAAGCUCCACCCUCAGCUAACCUCCUCUCCAACUCUUGUGCUUUCUCCUUAGUCAAAACACCCAAUCUAAUCCGCGGUUGUCCCCGAGCACCCCUCAUCUUCCUCUUCACCCAGAGAGAGACAUCCAUCACUAGGAGUCUAUGAAGAGUCGAAAGGGACUCUCCCGUAAUAACCUUGCAGUC
rnacentral:lncRNA from 1 species